rnacentral:rRNA from 1 species
AGCGUACACGGUGGAUGCCCUGGCAGUCAGAGGCGAUGAAGGACGUGCUAAUCUGCGAAAAGCGCCGGCGAGGUGAUAUGAACCUUUGACCCGGCGAUGUCCGAAUGGGGAAACCCAGUGCAAUCCGUUGCACUAUCGUUAACUGAAUACAUAGGUUAACGAGGCGAACCGGGGGAACUGAAACAUCUAAGUACCCCGAGGAAAAGAAAUCAACCGAGAUUCCCCCAGUAGCGGCGAGCGAACGGGGAGCAGCCCGGAGUCUGAAUCAGCUUGUGUGUUAGUGGAACGGUCUGGAAAGUCCGACGGUACAGGGUGAUAGUCCCGUACACGAAAGCACACUUGCUGUGAACUCGAAGAGUAGGGCGGGACACGUGGUAUCCUGUCUGAAUAUGGGGGGACCAUCCUCCAAGGCUAAAUACUCCUGACUGACCGAUAGUGAACCAGUACCGUGAGGGAAAGGCGAAAAGAACCCCGGCGAGGGGAGUGAAAAAGAACCUGAAACCGUGUACGUACAAGCAGUGGGAGCCUCUUUAUGGGGUGACUGCGUACCUUUUGUAUAAUGGGUCAGCGACUUAUAUUCUGUAGCAAGGUUAACCGUAUAGGGGAGCCGAAGGGAAACCGAGUCUUAACUGGGCGUUAAGUUGCAGGGUAUAGACCCGAAACCCGGUGAUCUAGCCAUGGGCAGGUUGAAGGUUGGGUAACACUAACUGGAGGACCGAACCGACUAAUGUUGAAAAAUUAGCGGAUGACCUGUGGCUGGGGGUGAAAGGCCAAUCAAACCGGGAGAUAGCUGGUUCUCCCCGAAAGCUAUUUAGGUAGCGCCUCGUGAACUCAUCUUCGGGGGUAGAGCACUGUUUCGGCUAGGGGGCCAUCCCGGCUUACCAACCCGAUGCAAACUACGAAUACCGAAGAAUGUUAUCACGGGAGACACACGGCGGGUGCUAACGUCCGUCGUGAAGAGGGAAACAACCCAGACCGCCAGCUAAGGUCCCAAAGUCAUGGUUAAGUGGGAAACGAUGUGGGAAGGCACAGACAGCCAGGAUGUUGGCUUAGAAGCAGCCAUCAUUUAAAGAAAGCGUAAUAGCUCACUGGUCGAGUCGGCCUGCGCGGAAGAUGUAACGGGGCUAAACCAUGCACCGAAGCUGCGGCAGCGACGCUUAUGCGUUGUUGGGUAGGGGAGCGUUCUGUAAGCCGUUGAAGGUGUNNNNNNNNNNNNNNNNNNNNNNNNNNNNNNNNNNNNNNNNNNNNNUUAACGCUGAGGUGUGAUGACGAGGCACUACGGUGCUGAAGUGAUAAAUGCCCUGCUUCCAGGAAAAGCCUCUAAGCAUCAGGUAACACGAAAUCGUACCCCAAACCGACACAGGUGGUCAGGUAGAGAAUACCAAGGCGCUUGAGAGAACUCGGGUGAAGGAACUAGGCAAAAUGGUGCCGUAACUUCGGGAGAAGGCACGCUGAUAUGUAGGUGAAGUCCCUGCGGACGGAGCUGAAAUCAGUCGAAGAUACCAGCUGGCUGCAACUGUUUAUUAAAAACACAGCACUGUGCAAACACGAAAGUGGACGUAUACGGUGUGACGCCUGCCCGGUGCCGGAAGGUUAAUUGAUGGGGUUAGCGGCAACGCGAAGCUCUUGAUCGAAGCCCCGGUAAACGGCGGCCGUAACUAUAACGGUCCUAAGGUAGCGAAAUUCCUUGUCGGGUAAGUUCCGACCUGCACGAAUGGCGUAAUGAUGGCCAGGCUGUCUCCACCCGAGACUCAGUGAAAUUGAACUCGCUGUGAAGAUGCAGUGUACCCGCGGCAAGACGGAAAGACCCCGUGAACCUUUACUAUAGCUUGACACUGAACACUGGUCCUUGAUGUGUAGGAUAGGUGGGAGGCUUUGAAGCGUGGACGCCAGUCUGCGUGGAGCCAACCUUGAAAUACCACCCUUUAAUGGCUGGUGUUCUAACGUAGACCCGUAAUCCGGGUUGCGGACAGUGUCUGGUGGGUAGUUUGACUGGGGCGGUCUCCUCCCAAAGAGUAACGGAGGAGCACGAAGGUUGGCUAAUCCUGGUCGGACAUCAGGAGGUUAGUGCAAUGGCAUAAGCCAGCUUGACUGCGAGCGUGACGGCGCGAGCAGGUGCGAAAGCAGGUCAUAGUGAUCCGGUGGUUCUGAAUGGAAGGGCCAUCGCUCAACGGAUAAAAGGUACUCCGGGGAUAACAGGCUGAUACCGCCCAAGAGUUCAUAUCGACGGCGGUGUUUGGCACCUCGAUGUCGGCUCAUCACAUCCUGGGGCUGAAGUAGGUCCCAAGGGUAUGGCUGUUCGCCAUUUAAAGUGGUACGCGAGCUGGGUUUAGAACGUCGUGAGACAGUUCGGUCCCUAUCUGCCGUGGGCGCUGGAGAAUUGAGGGGGGCUGCUCCUAGUACGAGAGGACCGGAGUGGACGCAUCACUGGUGUUCGGGUUGUCAUGCCAAUGGCACUGCCCGGUAGCUAAAUGCGGAAGAGAUAAGUGCUGAAAGCAUCUAAGCACGAAACUUGCCCCGAGAUGAGUUCU